GUUGUUGCUCAUCCCAAACUGCUGUUGUUGCAGUUGUUCUAGCAUACGUUGAUUCUGCUGCUGUAACAGCUGAUUCUGCUGAAGCAUCGAUUGGUGAAUGCUCUCUUGUUGAUGCAUGUUCUGUUGCAGUCCAUAUUGCUGCUGCAUUUGUUGAUGCUGCAUCUGCAACUGCAUUUGCUGCUGCUGGAGGAACAUUUGCUGCUGACCCUGAGAGCUGCUACUAAAGUCCAUGUCUGGUUGAAAGGGCAGGUCAUUC